GGUUGCAAAAAGAUAAGUUCACAAUAGUUGUUUGUUUGUUGUGUUGUUUAGUUGUUAAAAAGAUGUCACGUUUCCUACAUGGGGCGCUAGGUACACUAAACGAACGAACAUUCGAGUUGUUUACAAAGCAAGUGCAGAACAGAACAGGUUUGCGAGUUCUUAUCAGUUAUCACCAGUAGAAGUGAUCGUUUACAGUCUCGAGUAACGUUUUAAUUCGGUUCUUCGUGUGGCUAAACGUGCUGCGAAAGAAACUAAUUGGUGCCUCAGCAAAACUCUUUUCAUCGUCGUAUUGCAGAUCCUGUGCUGGGGAGUCGAACGCAUCAACGUAUUCCUGCAUCAAAAAGGCUCGGCGCUCGGUUUUCGCUCGUUCAACCUCCCAACAUGUUUCGGUAGCGAUUGAUUUCGUACUGUCCGUGGGUGGUUACUCAGACGUGCCUUUUUCGUGCCGCAACGCGAAGAAAAAAGCGGUUGAAACUUGAUAUCGUUUCGGACGUAUGCAAGUGAAUACUUACAACACCACCUUAGAUGAAACUGGACCAGCGCGAUUUGCAAAAGUCCGACACGUAUCUACACACAUCGGCAGAACAAAUAGGUUUAUAGUCUAUCAACUUUGAGGUAAAUAUGUCAGGGUCGCGAAAAACAUAACUACUGCAAUAAAUUAGCGAAAUCAUCAGCAAUUGGAAACCGGCAAUGGUAGAACGCGGGGCGAUGAGAGCAAAAUGUUAUGCUUGUGUAUUCUGACAUGCUGUGUUUUAUGUAUUACUGCACUAAACAGCAAACUUUACGUGUAAGUAUUGUGUUUACGUCACAAAAAUAGUAAAACAAGCACGUAUACUACUCGUAGCAUUUUUUUAAAUUCUGCAGUUAAAACAAAUUGCUUCUUAAGUUCCGGAAUUGUGGUGAAAAGUACCUACAAUUUAUCUCUUUGUCAUCAUAUUUAUAUAAUUGUAGAAUUGGCACCAAAUCUCAAGAAAUAUAUUUGUUUUGUAUUAUGUGUAA